rnacentral:lncRNA from 1 species
CUCGCUUAUCCUGCACGUUUAGAAAUACAUGCAGUGCUGAGUACAGAGUACCCAGUGGACAUAUGCCAAAAAACAAAUAAAAGCCUGCUCCUAGAGCUAUAAAUUGAACUUGCCACAUCUUAUCAGGUGGGCUUAUUUUCCAAAUGUAUGUUUGAGUAAUUAAGCUCGAAAUGUUUCAUGAAUUGAAAACUGUUUAUUCAAUAAAUAUUUUUGUGCGCUCUGUUAUGUUUAAGGCUCACAAUUCAUGGAUCGAUCGAGGUUCUCUUAUGACCUAACACGUUGUUUGAGAAUUGUAUACACUUGUUAGUUGUUUCGGUGGAUUGAUCUCCAUCGGGCACUAAUUCAUGUCAGAGGCGUUAUAAGGGUGCUUGGCUGGAUGUGUUCCGGAGCAUGUAUCAUGUAAGGCCUGCCUGGGUAGCGUCCCGAGGUCAAUUCAACUUAUCUGAAUUACGUCCUCAGGGUAAGUGUUAUGGGAAAAAGCGAUACGUUGGUGGCUAAAAGGCCCGGUAUCACAGCGAGUAACUAAAGAGAGUGUGACAAUAGCGCGCUAAUAAAAUGAAAUGUUUUAACAUGCUUAGAAGUUCUUUUAUUUUAAAACCUUCUAAGUUAUGUCAUGAAUGAUUGGAUAAACUGCUCUUACGAAUUGUGAAAUGUUUUAAAAGUUGCAGCCCACUAAGUACAUUAGUACUUAGCCCAAACAUUUUCAAAUAUUUUUUAGGUUGAUGGCUGGUGUUGACGGGGAGAGCUGAGGCUAGGGUUCAACUCCGUGUCUUGACUUCCGCUGUAGUACCAGCCUUUAUUUGUCUUUCGUUUCCCUGACUUAAGACUUUUAUGUUAUGACUCUAAAUGAUAUCUUUUGAUGAGCUUAGACUCUUGACUCUUAAGUAUUUCGAAGCAUAAAACUAAACUUGUGAUCCUGAAGUUGUUAUGUUUGUCGAUUGAUUAGUAUCGUUUAGAUAUCUGUCUUUCUUCAUCCAAAGGGGCGAUGCCCGAUUUAUCAUCCCAUUAUUCGUAUUUUACAAGGUUUUUCCCUUGUUCAUUUCAAUGAUUUAGUUGCACCUCAGUUAUAGUUAUUCCUUCAGAAAUUGGGGUGUGACAACUAAACUCAAGAAAAUUCUCAAAUAGGCAACAAUUAACCAAUUUAAUCAUUAAUAAACACUAUUAGUAUGCUCAAUAUCAUUUAUCGUAAGCCAAUUCAAACAAUUAACACAUAGACAUGAAAGCCCUAAAUUUUUGUUAAACUAAACUUUUUGAAAAUUCACAAAUGUGUAUGAAUCAUUAAUCCAAUCUUAGGUCCGUCAAUUUAGGUUACUUAAUAACAUAUAUAAGCCAUCAAUUAGCAAUUUAAGGCAUAGAGACACAUAUACCAAAUUCUCAUUAAACUAACUAUCAUCAAAAUUUUACCAUCAACUUCAAUCAUCAAUCUACUCCAUCAAAUAUCAUAUUAGUCAUCUCAUAAGCUCAUAUUCAUCAUCAAUUCAUCAUUUAAUCCAUAGAUUCAAGAAUUCCUAAUUUUAGACAAACUAACCUAAAUGGAAAAUCAUAUCUCAUGACAAAGCUUCGCAGUACACAUAAGAAUCAUCUCAAAAUAUCUCAAUAAACAUAAAUCUCAUGCCAACUUAAGAAAAGAAUAAGAAAUUUUUUUGAAGGGGAAGACCCCUAAAUUUUUGAAAAACUAAAUUUUUGAAAAAUUAGAGAGAGAGAGAGACAAAGAGAGAGAGAGAGAGAGUGUUUUCUUGCUUCAAUCAUACAUAUAUACACAUAUAUAACACCAUAGGAUUUAGAUCUAUGAAUUAAAGACACUUACUCAAAGGCUUUGAGAGAAAUGGAAAUUUCUUCUCUCUAACUUCAAGCUUCAAUCUCCAACAAUCUUCUUGAAUUCAAGUAUAUAGAGUGUUUAGGGCUUGAUUUUAAUGGUGGAUAAUAUCAUAGAAUUGAUUUAUGAAGCUUGGAAGUUCUUCUCUAAUGGAGUUUCAUGGAGGAAAGAGAGAUGAGAGAGAGAGGGGUGUGAGUGGCGUGAAUGAGGGAGAAGGGGAGUGAGAGGAUUUGUUUU